AUGCCGUAGAACAGGGAUUCUAACUCCCACCACUAACUCCCAAAGCUAGUAUUCUAAACUAAACUAUUUCCUGA
rnacentral:tRNA from 1 species